rnacentral:rRNA from 1 species
GCCCACCAAGGCGAUGAUGUGUAGCCGAUCUGAGAGGAUGACCGGCCACAUUGGGAGUGAGACGCGGCCCAGACUCGUACGGGAGGCAGCAGUAGGGAAUUUUCGGCAAUGGGGGGAACCCUGACCGAGCAACGCCGCGUGAACGAGGAAGGUCUUUGGAUCGCAGAGUUCUGUUGUAAGGGAAUAAACGAUCAUAUAGGGAAUGAUAUGAUUUUGACGGUACCUUACCAGAAAGCCACGGCUAACUACGUGCCAGCAGCCGCGGUAAUACGUAGGUGGCGAGCGUUAUCCGGAAUUAUUGGGCGUAAAGGGUGCGUAGGCGGCUUAAUAAGUUUGUGGUGAAAUCGUGGGGCUCAACUCCAUCAAGCCACAAAAACUGUCAAGCUAGAGAACAGUAGAGGCAAGUGGAAUUCCAUGUGUAGCGGUAAAAUGUGUAGAUAUAUGGAGGAACACCAGUGGCGAAGGCGGCUUGCUGGACUGUGACUGACGCUGAGGCACGAAAGCGUGGGGAGCAAAUAGGAUUAGAUACCCUAGUAGUCCACGCCGUAAACGAUGAAUACUAAGUGUUGGAGAAAUUCAGUGCUGCAGUUAACGC